GACGGAGGAUGCAAGCGUUAUCCGGAAUGAUUGGGCGUAAAGCGUCCGCAGGUGGCAGUUCAAGUCUGCUGUCAAAGACCGGGGCUUAACUUCGGAAAGGCAGUGGAAACUGAACAGCUAGAGUAUGGUAGGGGCAGAGGGAAUUCCUGGUGUAGCGGUGAAAUGCGUAGAGAUCAGGAAGAACACCGGUGGCGAAGGCGGUUCUCUGGGCAUUACCUGACACUGAGGAGCGAAGGCGUGGGGAUCAAACAGG
rnacentral:rRNA from 1 species